ACGCACGCUGGCGGCGUGCUUCACCCAUGCCAGUCGAACGAAGAGCGAUGGAAGCUUGCUUCUAUCAAUCUUAGUGGCGAACGGGUGAGUAACGCGUAAUCAACCUGCCCUUCAGAGGGGGACAACAGUUGGAAACGACUGCUAAUACCGCAUACGAUCUAAUCUCGGCAUCGAGGAUAGAUGAAAGGUGGCCUCUACAUGUAAGCUAUCACUGAAGGAGGGGAUUGCGUCUGAUUAGCUAGUUGGAGGGGUAACGGCCCACCAAGGCGAUGAUCAGUAGCCGGUCUGAGAGGAUGAACGGCCACAUUGGGACUGAGACACGGCCCAGACUCCUACGGGAGGCAGCAGUGGGGAAUCUUCCGCAAUGGACGAAAGUCUGACGGAGCAACGCCGCGUGAGGGAUGACGGCCUUCGGGUUGUAAAGCUCGGUUAAUCGGGACGAAAGGCCUUCUUGCGAACAGUUAGAAGGAUUGACGGUACCGGAAUAGAAAGCCACGGCUAACUACGUG
rnacentral:rRNA from 1 species